rnacentral:rRNA from 1 species
GACGAACCGUGCGAACGUUGUUCGGAAUCACUGGGCUUAAAGGGCGCGUAGGCGGCUUGCCAAGUCAGGGGUGAAAUCCUGCAGCUUAACUGUAGAAGGGCCUUUGAUACUGGCGAGCUCGAGGGAGGUAGGGGUAUGUGGAACUUCCGGUGGAGCGGUGAAAUGCGUUGAUAUCGGAAGGAACGCCGGUGGCGAAAGCGACGUACUGGACCUCCUCUGACGCUGAGGCGCGAAAGCUAGGGGAGCAAACGGG